rnacentral:rRNA from 1 species
UACGGAAGGCAGCAGUGGGGAAUAUUGCACAAUGGGCGCAAGCCUGAUGCAGCCAUGCCGCGUGUAUGAAAAAGGCCUUCGGGUUGUAAAGUACUUUCAGUCGUGAGGAAGGUGUUAAGGUUAAUAACCUUAGCAAUUGACGUUAGCGACAGAAGAAGCACCGGCUAACUCCGUGCCAGCAGCCGCGGUAAUACGGAGGGUGCGAGCGUUAAUCGGAAUUACUGGGCGUAAAGGGCACGCAGGCGGUUAAUUAAGUUGGAUGUGAAAUCCCCGGGCUUAACCUGGGAAUGGCAUUCAAGACUGGUUAGCUAGAGUCUUGUAGAGGGGGUAGAAUUCCAUGUGUAGCGGUGAAUGCGUAGAGAUGUGGAGGAAUACCGGUGGCGAAGGCGGCCCCUGGACAAAGACUGACGCUCAUGUGCGAAAGCGUGGGGAGCAAACGAGGAUUAGAUACC